CUUUUAGAUCCUGACUUUCUUGUGUGAACACAGAAACAUAGGACUGAAAAAUGUGCAGUAAAGGUUAAUACCGCUAUGCAACUUUGUGUUGUGAUAUUGUGAAGGAAAACAAAGGAUGGGCCAUAAAAGGGAAUGAACCAUGCUCUAAUAUCACUAUCAUCCUUCACUGAAGCCCAGAAGAUAUGGCGCAGUCUCACCAAGAUGAGAGUAGAAUUCUUCAGUCCUUCAUAAAUGAUUUUGCCUUGCAGUGAACACAGUGUUCAACUUUGUCAGUAGACGGCGCUGGAGGGGCAUCGCAGGAAGAAGAAGGAGGGGUUAUCUUCCUGGUCCCAAAGUGCUACUUUUGCUUUUCCUUGCACCUGCUGUAUAGAACGUAGUGGUGGGGGAGAUGGCGGACAUUCUCCCCAACUCCAAGUUCAGAGUGGCAGUCCCUCUAUGACCUUGCAGCCCUCCUGAUGCGGGCUGCACAAUCCAGGACUUCUGCCUGCAUUGCCUAGACGCCAUCUGCAUUCCCACGCACUAACCUCAGCUUGACAGCCUCAGAGGAUUGUUUCCCUCGGUCUACCGAACGUGAGCUCCAAGCCUCCUGCAGGACUCGCUGACCCACCACCCUUGUCUCGCCUGAGCUCUGGAAUGUUUCUUGCGUGCCCAGUGAAUAUGGACCAGAUGUAGCCCCAACAACCCAGCAAAAUUGUCUUCCACCUGUUGGGCUGCAACUCUAACUUCUUCAAUGAGAUGGGAACCCCAUUCUUGGGGAUAGGGCCUCCCUUCCGAAUUUGUUCUUUCUGAGGCAUUCUCUCUCUCUCUCCUGGGGUAGCCUUCAGAGUUCUCUUCACAUUUUUAUAGGGAACCUAGUGUGUCAGGAGUCUCCAAGACCAUCCCUAAUUUCCAUGAUUCACUAGAAGGAUUCACAGGAAUCAGCAUAUAGUUGUACUCAGGGUUAUGAUUUAUUACAAGAAAAGAAUACACAGAAAAAUCAGCAAAAGGAAAAGGUGCAUGGAACCAGGAGCAAGGUUACAAGAAUCUCUACCCAGUGGGGUCACAGACUCAUUUAAUUCCUCCAACAUCAAAUAGAAACAACACAUGUGAAGUACUGUCUACCGGGGAGCUCGUUAGAAACUCAGUGGCCAGUGAUUUUAUUCGAGUCUGGUCACAUAGGCACCCUCUGCCUAGUAAAUGCCAAAAUUGUAGAUUCCCAGAGGGAAAGAUGGCGUUCAGCAUAAAACAUAUUGUUUGCGUAAACAGCUUAGGUACCGUGAACCCUUCUUAUCAAGGAUGGUGAAAAUCCUUCCAAAACGCAAGUCAAAGUCCAACCUUGGAGCAGGCCUUUCAAGGAAAUAGUCUGUGCCUGUUAUGUUAACUUUUGUUCUGCAUACCCAGCAUAGUUUAAUGUUCUUUAUAUUAAACUUCCUUUG